UAUUUGUUUACUCAUUGGGAUUAUAUAAUCUCACCACCCUCUUUUCCACCCAUUUCAGGCUUAGUAUAGUCGGUAGAUAGCUCACUUUGUUGAGGGCUACAGUUGGACUUGCAUCCUCAAAAAAACUGUAGGUUUACCGCUUUAGAUACUUUUGGUCGUUCGGGGGUCCACAUGUCACUGUAAAUUAAAUCUUAUGCAUUGGUUAUCUGUAUUACAGUAUGUAUGAAUUUAUUUAGCUUUUAUACUAUAAAA
rnacentral:lncRNA from 1 species